rnacentral:rRNA from 1 species
AGCGAACGCUGGCGGCAGGCCUAAUACAUGCAAGUCGAGCGCACCUUCGGGUGAGCGGCGGACGGGUGAGUAACGCGUGGGAACGUGCCCUUUGGUACGGGAUAACUGAGGGAAACUUCAGCUAAUACCGUAUGUGCCCUACGGGGGAAAGAUUUAUCGCCAUUGGAGCGGCCCGCGUUGGAUUAGGUAGUUGGUGAGGUAAAGGCUCACCAAGCCUACGAUCCAUAGCUAGUCUGAGAGGAUGAUCAGCCACACUGGGAAUGAGACACGGCCCAGACUCAUACGGGAGGCAGCAGUAGGGAAUGUUGCGCAAUGGGCGAAAGCCUGACGCAUCCAUGCCGCGUGAAUGAUGAAGGUCUUAGGAUUGUAAAAUUCUUUCACCGGGGAAGAUAAUGACGGUACCCGGAGAAGAAGCCCCGGCUAACUUCGUGCCAGCCGCCGCCGUAAGAC